CCUCGGCCUCCCAAAGUGCUGAGAUUACAGGCGCGAGCCACCAAGCCCGGCCCCCUGCGUCUUUCAAAUAGAACCCAGUUAUUGCUAACGCGCCUGUAUCCCUUCCUUCCUUAUCUGUCGCCUCGGUCCCCACAAGAACUGCCUGAGGCCUCAAAAGGCCGAUUCUGCUGGAAUUGCCCCCAUGAAUUCUUGAGGACCACCACGCACCUGGACAGCAGCCCCUCCUACCAGCCCUUCCCGAGUCUCGCCCCACACGGUCGCCAGUUGCUCAGGGCAUCUGUUUGUACCUUGUGCACACCUCUCUUAAAGCACUUUUUUUUUUUGAGACGGAGUCUCACUCUGUUGCCCAGGCUGUAGUGCAGUGGCGCGAUCUGCAACCUCCGACUCCUGGGUUGGAGCAAUUCUCCUGCCUCAGCCUCCCAAGUAGCUGGGAUUACAGGUGUGUGCCACCACACCCGGAUAAUUUUUGUAUUUUUAGUAGAGAUGGGGUUUCGCCAUGUUGGCCAGGCUGGUCUCGAAAUCCUGACCUCAUGAUCCACCCACCUCGGCCUCCCAAAGUGCUGGUAUUACAGGCGUGAGCCACCAUGCCCGGCCAAAGCACUUAAACAUUGUUUGUUUUUGUUUUUUUUUCUUACUGCCAGGGAAGACAGAAUCAACAUUGUAUCUUUCACUCACUUCUCACUUCCUUUGCCACGCUGUGAGCUUUCUUGGGUCCAGACUGCGCUGUUUUUCCUUUCCCCAGAAUGUACCAUAGCGGCGGGAAUUUAGUGCUUAGUGUGAAUUUGAGAGCAUAUAGUUCCGUAACACCUUUGUUCUCUAAGGUUCCGAAGGAGCUCACUAAAUACACUAGCCCUUUCCAUGUUUUCUCCUUCACUAGUUUCCGCGCCGCCUCCUCUUCCUCAAAUUCGGCUUGGCUUCUCUAGACUCUACACUUGCCCCCUCAAACCUUACCUUUCUGCCCCCAUCACUGACUCUUCUAUUCUCUUCCCACAACCUUUAAUGCGGGCUGUCUCUCCAUGGCCCAUCCUGCCUCUACCUCUUUUCUAGUUUCAAAUAUAAGUUAUC
rnacentral:lncRNA from 10 species